AAUCACUUAACCCUUUUUACCUCAGUUCCUCAUUUGUAAAAAUGAACUGGAGGAGGAAAUAGCAAACCAAUCCAAUAUCUUUGCAAGAAAACCCCAAAUGGAGUGACAAAAAGCAAAUCACAACUGAACAACAACAGCAAGAACAUUCUCAAAGAGCUUAUAUUCCAGAUAAUGUGUACAUAUAUGAGGAAACUGAGGCAAACAGGAUUAAGUGGCUUGCCCUGAGUCAUGCAGCUAAGAGCUUCCAAAGAAAGAAAAGAAUUUCAUCAAAACUAACCAACACAUCAAACAAGAGUAUAAUGCAUGCUGCACAGGCAAGUCCCCCAAUUCUUUGAAGAAGACAACCAACAAAUCGAUUCCUGAUUUGUAAAGUUUGCUGAUUUCUGAAAUGCCUUCCAUUGAAAAUUUAACAGGCUUUGGAGAGCCAGAUGCUCACGUCGGAAUACUACCCAAGCUACAUAUGUACAAAAGGUGAAGAAGGCCUACAAUGAAAAAGGACAGUCUCAACCCACAA